CCCUUAGAUGUUCUGGGCUGCACGCGCGCUACGCUGAUGCACUCAACGAGUUUACGACCUUGCCCGAUAGGGUUGGGUAAUCUUUUUAAAAUGCAUCGUGAUGGGGAUAGAUUAUUGCAAUUAUUAAUCUUCAACGAGGAAUUCCUAGUAAGCGCGAGUCAUCAGCUCGUGCUGAUUACGUCCCUGCCCUUUGUACACACCGCCCGUCGCUCCUACCGAUUGAGUGCUCUGGUGAAUAAUUCGGACUGCAGCAAUGUUUGGAUCCCGAACGUUGCAGCGGAAAGUUUAGUGAACCUUAUCACUUAGAGGAAGGAGAAGUCGUAACA
rnacentral:rRNA from 1 species